rnacentral:rRNA from 1 species
CAUUUCUUUUUGUUAUCUACGCUCUUCUUAGCCUAACAUUUCAUAAGACAACAGGGAAGGGAAGCAAAAAGAAAAAAAAGAGGGGUACUACCGGGGGGCACCUUUUGGUUUAGAGAUCGGGUGGCAGGAAGGAGAGGUGAUAAAGGUAGAUUAGGGGUACCUUAAUAAGGUAGCAGGAAAGGAGAGAGCUUAGGGUUGGUUUGAUUACAUUUCGUUCGUCCCGUACCUAGAGUUUUUUGUUCUCCCCGGUACCUAGACCGUACCAACACGAGCCUAAGUUGGAUUAGUGCUAAACCUAGUUUGAGUAUUAGAAGACUGCAUGUUAAAGACCUACGGAGUAGCUCUAGCCUGACCUCGUGUUGAUACGGGUAGUCAAAGGGUCCAGUGUAGAGAGGGUCCUCGUUCCCGUCGGUAGCGUGUUCUUAGACAAAGUUAACGUCUGAUGUACGAGUCUAGGUACGGUAUCGUAUAUUUAGUACAUGCGGUACCUACGUACGUAUUUAUACAUGUUAACACAUUGGACUAGUCGUUCGAUCCUGCAGUCUGUCCAUUUAUAAGUAACCACGUUAGUAUAGAAAGAUGUUUACAUAUCUAGAAGGUGACGGUGCAAAUAGAAGAUAAGAGGUGGUGUGCCUUCACCUUAUAAACAUUUUGAACACGACCCUAUUCGACCAGUUACGUUCAAUCGUUUCGCAGACUCCUUUUUAUCUGUUGACUGCUCAAGAUUUUCUAACUACUAUGACACUAAGUAUAACUCACUCAUAUAGCUUUCCUUCAUUUACUCAUGUCUAUGGUACCAACGAUUAUCAAUGUUGAGAAGCUUAUAUGUCCCUAUCUUUUAAAUCAAAAUGUGAUGCCCCACUCUUCCAGUUGUUUUAACUACACCUAAGCAAGACAGUACAUGACAGUAUCAUUGUAGUUUUUGACAGGCUAUAAAAUAUAAACACAUAAAGUAUAAUUUUCCUUUAUUAAUUACGAUAUACACAUAUAAAUAAAAUGUCCUUUCAAUUAUAGUUCACGUAUGUUUCAUUAGCGACAGUAUAUAUCCACGAUUGUCUCAAAUACAGCUAAACUUAUGGUAGUCGAUUAGCACAUAGAAAGACAGAGGACACCUCUACCCCCACUUUGUAUUUAACCAAUCGUUUGUCCUCUUUCUCUCUAGUUUCAUUUCUGAAGUAUCGAGAAUACCUCUGCUCCGCGGCUAAAAGACAUACUCUUUCGUAUUAGACCUCUCCAAUUUCAAUUGUUAUGUAGUGGUCGGACUUUGGAUUGUUGAGUAGUUGAAUCAAUACUGCGAUAGGAUUGACAAUUCUCUUUAUUAACUUCUUCUACGUCUAAUAGUAGGCCUACUCGAGAUGUUUGUCGACCAUGUACUGUUACAGACACACGACCUUGCUCUUUGAGUGUGUGAUUGUUUCUCGAGAGGAAGUUAUGAAAGAUACUAACACUACUUUAAGACUUCUUGUUAAGGAUACAGACACGAUAGUGGACUUAUGAUCCAGCACGUCUACCUGUCCAACUGCUUAUAGCAGACACUAUGAAGGCAAGGAGGUUAACUAGAUAGACCAUUACCAGUGCCCAACCGACCGGCAGCGACUGUGGUUGAUCUCCUGCGUCGCCGCGUACUACUAGAAUAACGAUGUGAAGGAUUCUCGUCGUUGCACUAAUUCAGAUAGUCUCUUCACGAUCAAGUACGGCUACUCACUACUAACAGUUAUAUCGAAUGUACACCGACGCCUUCGUAUUUUUCGUGCCAUUAUUCUUUCCUAACUAGUCCCAUUGCAUGAUCGUAACGUCAAAAACAUGACCGAGAAUUAAAUAAACGAAAAGUCACCUAUAACAACUAAGUUAACUUCUCUAAAAACACGUCAAACAUAACAAACUGUGCAAAGACGUUUUGCGUUCAUUAACGAUGUCAUGGUAAAUCCAACCAGGUCCAUUUCUACGUGCAUGUGUUGGAAGUUGAUAAAAGAAGGCCACCCUGUGUUCAUGUUCCUAAAUUCGUGGAUCUAACUAAGUACCUCCUACGUGGUUUGCUCCGACCGAUCGGAUUCGAACGAUGACCUAGCUGGCCGGUCUUCUUCCCUUGUGUGCCGGCGUUUGGGUACAGACUUUCCCUGUUCCGGCGAUUCAUUAUAUAGGGUCGAACGAGAUUGUUAAUUAAAGGACACGAAGGACUACAAUAAAUGAUUGACUUGAAUCCUUGCGCUCUUUGCAGUAUCACAUUAUACUGAGCGACCUCGUUCUAAUUUAACAACCUGGUUCCAGAUGUAGAUAUAAGGGAAUACAAAAAGUGAAUGUAACAAACAACAGGAUAGGUAAAAAUACCGUAAGGAUCGUUUUCUUCUUUUUUUGUUCCUACUAAAAUUUACUGUUCGUUCUUUUACAUAACUCUUAUAGGAACCGAAUAAAGAAUAAACGAUGGGUCUAAAACGACGUAGGUUGUACAGUAGGUGUCUUGUACUAGUAUAGUUACAUACGAUUUGGUUUAUACGUUUCGACGACGAACGUUUUGUACUACAUAUGGUUGUGCAAAUAAAUGGUCAGAUAAAAACAAAUACCCACAUUAAUACCAAAACAACUACAUGAGCUGUUAUCUUUGUAAUAGGAGGAACCGUAUUAUACAAUAAGAGAUGGCGGAUAGAAGUACAACAAUUGACUUCAAAUGUUAAAAGUAUAUGCGAGAUUACUCGUGACAACUACUCUAACG